rnacentral:tRNA from 1 species
GCUUGUGUAACUUAAUAGAAAAGUAUGUAGUUUCGACCUACAAAAUAGAGGUGCAAUUCCUUUCACGAGCG